CACGGGUGCGUAACGCGUCGGAAUCUGCCUUGGGGUUCGGAAUAACAGCGGGAAACUGCUGCUAAUACCGGAUGAUGUUUAGCGACCAAAGAUUUAUCGCCCCAAGAUGAGCCCGCGUCGGAUUAGCUAGUUGGUGGGGUAAAGGCCUACCAAGGCGACGAUCCGUAGCUGGUCUGAGAGGAUGAUCAGCCACACUGGGACUGAGACACGGCCCAGACUCCUACGGGAGGCAGCAGUGGGGAAUAUUGGACAAUGGGCGAAAGCCUGAUCCAGCAAUGCCGCGUGAGUGAUGAAGGCCUUAGGGUUGUAAAGCUCUUUUACCCGGGAAGAUAAUGACUGUACCGGGAGAAUAAGCCCCGGCUAACUCCGUGCCAGCAGCCGCGGUAAU
rnacentral:rRNA from 1 species